GGUGGGGUAACUGAGGCCCCAUGAAGUUAAAGAAUGUUCCUGAAGUCUCUCAGCAAUUCUCAAGUCCCAUCUUAUUUGAAGCAUGUAUUCCUGACAUGGGUCCCAUAACUGCUCUCAGCAGAUGAAUAUUAACGAAACCCAAACCUUUCGGGUGACCGUGAUCUUGUUCGUCUUUUUUUGCGAUCACCAGAUGAAGAAGAUCUAGAACGACUUCUCUUUCUGUUCCUCUCAGGAGAAGAUGAUGAACUUGAAUAAGAUCUUUUUCGUGGGGAAGAAGAGCCCCUGUGGGACCUGGAGCUGGAUCUUCAUUGAUUGAGAAACAAAUCAAACAUUUCAUUAAAAGAAGAAAUAAGGAAGAUUAUUUAGUUAUCAGAUAGCUCCAAAAAUAAACAGGAUUUAUAACAACUAUGAAAAUUUUAUAAGGAAGAAUACUUACUGCUUAUUCAACAGAAGACUUCUGGAUCAACCAUGAAAACAUUCUACUUAAACAUUUUAAUUUUGUCUCUUUAAAAUUCUAUCAUGUGUAAUUAAAACCCUGCUUACUAUAUCAAAA
ensembl:lncRNA ZRANB2-AS1 ZRANB2 antisense RNA 1